rnacentral:rRNA from 1 species
UACCUGCAGCUCUAGUGGUGGCCGCUAUUAUUGGGCCUAAAACGUCCGUAGCCUGUUUAUUAAAUGCCUAGGUAAAUUGUGUGGCUUAACCAUACGAAUUCUGGGUAGACUGGUAAACUUGAGACCGGGAGAAGCUAGAGGUACUUCUGGGGUAGAGGUGAAAUUCUGUAAUCCUAGGGGGACCACCAGUGGCGAAAGCGUCUAGCUAGAACGGGUUUGACGGUGAGGGACGAAGCCCUGGGGCGCAAACGGGAUUGGAUACCCCGGUAGUCCAGGGUGUAAACGCUGCUUGCUUGAUGUUGGUUGGGCUCCGAGCCCAAUCAGUGUCGGAGAGAAGUUGUUAAGCAAGCUGCCUGGGAAUUACGGUCGCAAGACUGAAACUUAAAGGAAUUGGCGGGGAGCACCGCAACGGGAGGAGCGUGCGGUUU